ACUGCUGGUCCUGGUUCGGGCCUGGUCUGUCUCUCUCUCUUCUCUGCAGGGUGUGACGGGCAGGUGUUUCGCGUCCCAGCUAAUUAGGUGCCUUCUUAAGGAGCUGAGACCAGGAGCAGGGCGUCAGUUCUUUCUCGCUACCAGCGUGAAUCACCCAAGCAACCGAACCUUCAAGCCUGGACCUCCGUCGACUUUCGGAUUCCUCAAGCCACCUGUCAGUCACAGCCCCUGCUCCAGGAAUUACCUGCCUGUCCACCCUCCAACGCACCAGCAUCAGAAAGGAGAGAUUCGCAGUACGCAUCAGGAUUCAGGACACCACCCUCCCAAAGCCCGAGACAACCCCAAACCCCAACCCAGGACUAUCCAGCCCAACACCGUUACAGAAUCCUCCUCAAUAAACUUUUUUCAUAAACCUCACAAACUGUCUCCGUGGUUGCCCCGCUUCAGGGUCGUUCUUCUCACAGUAUGACACAGACGAUGCACCAAGGAGAAACAAAAACCCAGAACUUAAAUAC